AUUGAACGCUGGCGGCAGGCCUAACACAUGCAAGUCGAACGAGUGGCGGACGGGUGAGUAAUGUCUGGGAAACUGCCCGAUGGAGGGGGAUAACUACUGGAAACGGUAGCUAAUACCGCAUACCAUCGGAUGUGCCCAGAUGGGAUUAGCUUGUAGGUGAGGUAACGGCCCAACUAGGCGACGAUCCCUAGCUGGUCUGAGAGGAUGACCAGCCACACGGGAACUGGUACACGGUCCACACUCCUACGGUAGGGAGCAGUGGGGAAUAUUGCACAAUGUGCGCAAGUCUGAUGCAGCCAGGCCGCGUGUAUGAAGAAUGCCUUCGGGUUGUAAAGUACUUGCAGCGGGGAGGCGUUACCCGCAGAAGAAGCACCGGUUAACUCCGUGCCAGCAGCCGCGGUAAUUC
rnacentral:rRNA from 1 species